rnacentral:rRNA from 1 species
AUACGGAGGAUCCGAGCGUUAUCCGGAUUUAUUGGGUUUAAAGGGUGCGUAGGUGGUUUGAUAAGUCAGCGGUGAAAGUUUGCAGCUUAACUGUAAAAAUGCCGUUGAAACUGUCGGACUUGAGUGUAAAUGAGGUAGGCGGAAUGCGUGGUGUAGCGGUGAAAUGCAUAGAUAUCACGCAGAACUCCGAUUGCGAAGGCAGCUUACUAAGCUACAACUGACACUGAAGCACGAAAGCGUGGGGAUCAAACAGGAUUAGAUACCCUGGUAGUCCACGCAGUAAACGAUGAUUACUAGCUGUUUGCGAUACACAGUAAGCGGCACAGCGAAAGCGUUAGGUAAUCCACCUGGGGAGUACGCCGGCAACGGUGAAACUCAAAUGAAUUGGCGGGG